GGCCAGUAACUUCAGGGUCCGCUGUAUGUUUUACCUGACGUGGGAGGCUUCAGAAAGGAAGGCUCAGAGCAGCAAGGCCUGUGUGCGCCUGCGCUCGCUCAGGUCGGUGAGGAGGACGGUCGCAGGGAGACACGUGGACAGAAGACCUGCUGCAGGCUCCGAGAGUGGCAUCUCCCUCCCAUUCCAUAUGUGCAGCAUCCCACAGUGCAGCAGUAACACUGGAAAGCUGGGGAGACGCUCCGGUGAUUGAAACCCAAACACUGUAGAAUGGCUCUGAUGGAGAAGAAGCCUUUGAACACCUGAAGUAAAGUCAUUCAUGAAGAUCAUCCCAACACUAGCCAGGAAGAGAGCAGAGCGGAGCUCCAGACGUGGAGUCAGAGAGAACUGGGUGUUCUCCUGGAAGCUCCUCCCAAAAGCUUCCCAGCACCAAGGUUCCCCAUGUAACCCCAGCCUGCCAGUACCAAAAGAGGAAAAAUAUCCUACAG
rnacentral:lncRNA from 1 species